UGCCUAGGAACCUGCCUGGUAGUGGGGGAUAACGUCCGGAAACGGACGCUAAUACCGCAUACGUCCUACGGGAGAAAGCAGGGGACCUUCGGGCCUUGCGCUAUCAGAUGAGCCUAGGUCGGAUUAGCUAGUUGGUGGGGUAAUGGCUCACCAAGGCGACGAUCCGUAACUGGUCUGAGAGGAUGAUCAGUCACACUGGAACUGAGACACGGUCCAGACUCCUACGGGAGGCAGCAGUGGGGAAUAUUGGACAAUGGGCGAAAGCCUGAUCCAGCCAUGCCGCGUGUGUGAAGAAGGUCUUCGGAUUGUAAAGCACUUUAAGUUGGGAGGAAGGGCAGUAAAUUAAUACUUUGCUGUUUUGACGUCACCGACAGAAUAAGCACCGGCUAACUCUGUG
rnacentral:rRNA from 1 species